UGUGCAGACGAAUCUCUCAGCAGAGUUCA
rnacentral:piRNA from 1 species